AAGUCGUAACAAGGUUUCCGUAGGUGAACCUGCGGAAGGAUCAUUAACACGAACAAAUAUCCAAUAGCAAAACAAAACGUGAACCAAACCCAUCCUCUUAUACGCAAGUAUAAGAGUACUUUAUUCUAACCUUUUUUAACCCCUUUUUUUAAUAUUGCUUUCCUUUAAAGAAGCAAACUUUAACCAUAUAUCUAUGUACUUAACUGUAUAUAUGUAUAUACGAAACUAAAUAAACAUUAGUAAGAACAACUCUUAACAAUGGAUAUCUAGGUUCUC
rnacentral:misc_RNA from 1 species